AGCGCCGACACGAAGAGGCUCCGUAGACCCUCCAUCCCCGCCCCCGACUUGAAGUCGGGCUCCUCUGAGUCCACCGUCAGCACGGCCGUGAUGCCCGCCCGCCUCAGGCGGUCCGGCUCCGCCGCGGCCGCCGCUCCGCCCAGAAUCCGGCUUAUAUGCUGAGAAUGAGGAUGGAAGUUUGAGAAGAAGCAGUUUGAGGAAAAUUUGCCUGGAGAGAGUGGAGAACGUCCGCGGAAGCUGACCUGUGGGGUCAGGCGUCCCAGUGCCUGAGGCAUACCUACUGUCAAGAUUGAGGAAGAAACUUCAGCUCUAGGCACCCUGGGACCAGAGAUAACUGAAUGGAGUUGGAGCACCCUCGGUGUGGAGGGACAACUUGGUCAACUGACGCAACAACUCUCCCUGCCUCACUCCCAACCCCUCCCCAACCCCCAACAUUUGCAAACUUACCAUGUCCUGCAGCUAUCCUGAGAAAUGCUGUGCCAGGAACUGAUCUCAGUUUCUUUUUGACUCAAAGAGAAACUGGUAAACAGAGAGUCAGAUGAGCAGAGCAAAGGGGACCACAAAUGUUCCCCGUUGCACAUUGGGGGUUUGCUGGGUUACAUUUAGCAGAACCUGCUUCCCCAUCCGCAAACAAAAUGCAGGGAAUGGCCUAUGUUACAACCUUCCCAACGUUAACAACUUUGGAGCUCUUUUGCUGCCCAAACUUCAUCCAGUGAGUUACAGUGGAGAGAGCUCUGGACAGGUGCACCCAAGUCCUAGACAGAAGUGUUGUUCUGUCAUGUGGUGGUUGUAGGACUUGGCCAAGCCAGUUAAACCCUCUGAACUGCAGUGUCUCCAACCACAAAAGACAAGGCCAAUGAUGCCGCUUCUAACAUUCCCCAGAGGGCUUAAAUUAUCAAAUCUGAAAUCCUAUAAACUUUUGGUCAGUCCACAAAAGAUUUCGAAAUCCUUUAAAAUGCUGUUCCUUGCCCCUCCUCACCACCAAAUAUACUCCACUUGUCAGUGUUUCAUAUUUACAAUCUCACCCGUUCCAGGAAAUAUUUCUUUGCCCACUCCUACCAGUAAUCUACUCAUCCCCAGCCAGGAGAACUGAAAGUAGUGACAGGCCAUUUACAAACAUUCAAAUCAGCAGGAGGAAACUGCCCAAGGAGAAAAACCAAAAACAAAAGCUAGAUUUGGAUGUUCACAGAAGCACUUCCAUUUGGUCCCAAAGUUGAAAUAUUUUUUUAAAUUACAUAAUGAAACCCUCCUUGAUUCUAUCUCCAUUGAUUCGUUCUUGCUUAGCAAUGAGAACACUGCACGGAAUCAGAUGAAGACCUUAGGGUCAAGCUUGCUCUGUGUAGAUAUAGGUACAGAUACCCAAACCAUGUGCUACGCUGGCCAUACAAACAAAAUACUUGGGGCUCAGACAAAAAAAGGAAUUCAUUUUGGCUGGACAAAACUGGGAGAAACUCUCUGAGAAGGUGGCAUUUGAGUUGGGUCUUUCCCAGAGGUGAAGGAGAUGAGGGGAAAGAGGUGGGGGAGAGCCAGGAGGAGGGUGCACCCAGAUCUGAGGACUGACACCCGAGACGGUCUCAUUCUGCAUGCCCAAUGUGGCUAACUAAAGAGAUUAUUUCUUGUCAGACUUCACAAGGCAUCCUGGGACAUGUGUUCGGUCACAUUGGCCAUAUCCAGCCCUAAUGGCAGCCACAUCAAGUUGCAGCCCCUGUGGAGGCCUCAUGGUUCCACAGCCCCCUGUCACAGAGGGUCUCAGAAUCCCGUAGCAGCCUGCCAGGUACUGAGUGGAUAGGCCUCCAUCUCUGCUUAUACCUUUAGGCCAUCAAACCAGUAAGGUUGCCUCCGAUCCAAAACAAUGUUCUAGAGCAGGUUCCUGCAGGAAUGACUGAUAAGCACGUACAGAAAUAAGCAGCUAGGGCGCCUGGGUGGCUCAGUUGGUUAAGCGACUGCCUUCGGCUCAGGUCAUGAUCUUGGAGUCCCGGGAUCGAGUCCCACGUCGGGCUCCCUGCUCAGCAGGGAGUCUGCCUCUCUCUCUGACCCUCCCCCCUCUCAUGCUCUCUAUCUCAUUCUCUCUCUCAAAUAAAUAAAUAAAAUUAAAAAAAGAAAGAAAGAAAGAAAGAAGCAGCUAUAUUCAGCACAGUGUUAUCAGCCAUAGACAGCAUGGCUCUUAACUAUAGCUAGUCAUAUGGUGGGCAUGGUGACUGUAGUUAAUAACACUGUACUGCAUACUUAGAAGUCGCUAAGAGAGUAGAUCUUAAAAGUUCUCAUCACAAGAAAAAAAUUCUGUGACUAUGUGUGGUGAUGGGUGUUAAGCAGACUUACUGAGGUGAUCAUGUCACGAUACAUAUAAAUAUUGAGUCAUUCCAUUGUAUUCCUGAAGCUGUACGUUGGAUGUCAAUUAUACCUCAAUUUAAAACCAGCAGCAGCGUCCACCAGGGGCCAGCAUGAGCUUACCAAGAUCAGUCUUGCUCGGAUAGUCUGUUCUUUUCCUGACAGAAUGACUACGUAGGCAGAUGAAGGAGACUGCUCACACACCAGAUCUGUACUUCUCUGGGCUGUGGGAUACAUCUCCUGUGGACAAGGGCAGAAAUAUAGGCUGGAUAUCAGAACAAUUGAGUCAUGAGUUGAGGUUGGUAGUUGGUUAAACGAUUGUACCAGAAGGAACAGAAAUGGAUCAAGGAGAGAGAUUUCUAGGGAGAGAGAGCCCUCACGUAAAUUUCUUUCAUCUGUUUUAUACAACUUUUUGUUGUUGUGGAUUGAUUUGGGUUAGGGUACUGAAGACCGGCUUACCUAAUCUGCAUGUGUUACAGCCGAGAGGAACUACAGUGGGAUCCAAAAUGAUCUUAGGAAGCUAACAAAGACAAAGUUCAAAAGAGAUAAGGUUCUGCACUUCGGUCCCCCAAAUGAAUCACAGAAAUAUAAAUUGGGGGGCAAAGAAGUACACCUUAGAUGGAAAGAAUCCUACAGGUGAGUUUGCAGACAGUAAGCUUAAUGAGGCUGGGCGAAAUCACUGGAGCCCUGGAAAAGCUGUUGUCCUUCUCCACCCCCGUGUCUGUUUCUACCCCUCCACUAACAAGUCCUUUAGUCUCUGGGUCUCCAUUCGGGUUUCUAGAAUCAACAAGUUGGACUAAAUCUCCAGGUCCCUGACAGCAGUAAAUUUGAAGACCCAGCCCUUUACCUUCUCUGGAAUUGGGGUCAGCGUUCACUCCACUACCUUCUCGAGUGCCUUUCUGAGCUGCAGAACCUGGAAAGUUGGAAGGGACGAAGACUCCCUUGCCACGCGGUGUGGGGCCCAGCUGAGGUCUGGCCACUCGGAAGCCUUUGGAUAACAUACAGAAGGUGAAAGUGAAGAAGAGGCUGUACUUCGGUCGCUUCUGUUCCUUCUGGAAACAGGGUGCAGAGGGUUUGGGGUUUUCCAUAGCAGCCGUGGCAGAGAUUCCAGCGUCCAGGAUCUAGCUCAGCGGUGCUCAGAGGCAGGGCCCUGAGCAUCCAUUUCUUGGACUAGAGCAGACCAGGUUCCCUCCUGGUGCCCCCGAAAUCAUUGCUUCUUUCUUAUCUUAUCAUGGCUAUUUCUCUGA